CCCCAGCCCAGAACCCUGUGUGCGGGACAGAGCGCUGGGUGUCAUGGUGUCUCCGCGUUCUCCCCCAGAAGCUGUCUGGACACCAGGACAGAAACACAGGCCAAACUCAUCAUCAUUCUCCACCCUUCCUCUGCCUCUUCUCUUCAGAAGUCGACCCUGGAGUCUUCCAGAAGAAAAGCCUCUUCCGGGCAUACAGUGGCAACAACAAGCAGUUGGGGACAGAGAGAGAAGCUGUCCUUAAGUAGAGGCGCUGGCCUGCGAGCCCCUCCCAGACCCCACAGAGACCAGGCUCUGUCCACCUGCAGACCAAGCAGCUCCGGAACCUGCUAAAAAUGACGGAGACUCAGCAGCUACCCGGACAAGCUCCCGGGUUCCUCUAUGUUUCUCCCCGUGUGUUCCGUGAUGGACACUGGAGACAUGCUGCAGAGUGUCGUGUUGCCUAGUUGACGGAGCUGCUUGUGGAUGCCGGCGGCUCUGUCCUUCCACACUGCGCACUUUCAUUAUGUGUGUUAAUGCUCCGUGACAAAAUGCUCUGGUUCCUAGUGACAAAGGAUCAGUGUGUGUAAGUGAACACUCAUCCAGCUGUGCUCUCUCUCUUUUUUUUUUCCAGUGGUGCUGAGAGAGCCCAUCUUGUGCAAAUCAUCCAUGCUGUUCCUUAAGCAUUUUAUCUUUGCUCAGUUGUUAAGAACGGUGGCUCGCGUUCAUGGUUUUUGUGUUUGCGUCUAACUCAUGUUUUAACAGGGUAGACAAUGCAUGGAGUAGCUAUAGUUUUAUGGAAAAGUUAAUCUCGAACUUGUUUUACAGAUCUUCAAUAAAUCUUUUUCUUUAAA